AAGUCGUAACAAGGUUUCCGUAGGUGAACCUGCGGAAGGAUCAUUACCUAGAGUUUGCAGACUUCGGUCUGCUACCUCUUACCCAUGUCUUUUGAGUACCUUCGUUUCCUCGGCGGGUCCGCCCGCCGAUUGGACAACAUUCAAACCCUUUGCAGUUGCAAUCAGCGUCUGAAAAAACAUAAUAGUUACAACUUUCAACAACGGAUCUCUUGGUUCUGGCAUCGAUGAAGAACGCAGCGAAAUGCGAUAAGUAGUGUGAAUUGCAGAAUUCAGUGAAUCAUCGAAUCUUUGAACGCACAUUGCGCCCCUUGGUAUUCCAUGGGGCAUGCCUGUUCGAGCGUCAUUUGUACCUUCAAGCUCUGCUUGGUGUUGGGUGUUUUGUCUCGCCUCCGCGUGUAGACUCGCCUUAAAACAAUUGGCAGCCGGCGUAUUGAUUUCGGAGCGCAGUACAUCUCGCGCUUUGCACUCACAACGACGACGUCCAAAAGUACAUUUUUACACUCUUGACCUCGGAUCAGGUAGGGAUACCCGCUGAACUUAA
rnacentral:rRNA from 1 species